GAUGAACGCUGGCGGCGUGCCUAAUACAUGCAAGUCGAGCGAACAGGCGAGGAGCUUGCUCCUCUGACGUUAGCGGCGGACGGGUGAGUAACACGUGGAUAACCUACCUAUAAGACUGGGAUAACUUCGGGAAACCGGAGCUAAUACCGGAUAAUAUAUUGAACCGCAUGGUUCAAUAGUGAAAGACGGUUUUGCUGUCACUUAUAGAUGGAUCCGCGCCGCAUUAGCUAGUUGGUAAGGUAACGGCUUACCAAGGCAACGAUGCGUAGCCGACCUGAUAGGGUGAUAGGCCACACGGGAACUGAGACACGGUCCAGACUCCUACGGGAGGCAGCAGUAGGGAAUCUGCCGCAAUGGGCGAAAGCCUGACGGAGCAACGCCGCGUGAGUGAUGAAGGUCUUCGGAUCGUAAAACUCUGUUAUUAGGGAAGAACAAAUGUGUAAGUAACUAUGCACGUCUUGACGGUACCUAAUCAGAAAGCCACGGCUAACUACGUG
rnacentral:rRNA from 1 species